GAUGAACGCUGGCGGCGUGCCUAAUACAUGCAAGUCGAGCGAACGGACGAGAAGCUUUCUCCUCUGAUGUUAGCGGCGGACGGGUGAGUAACACGUGGAUAACCUACCUAUAAGACUGGGAUAACUUCGGGAAACCGGAGCUAAUACCGGAUAAUAUUUUGAACGGCAUGGUUCAAAAGUUAAAGACGGUCUUGCUGUCACUUAUAGAUGGAUCCGCGCUGCAUUAGCUAGUUGGUAAGGUAACGGCUUACCAAGGCAACGAUGCAUAGCCGACCUGAGAGGGUGAUCGGCCACACUGGAACUGAGACACGGUCCAGACUCCUACGGGAGGCAGCAGUAGGGAAUCUUCCGCAAUGGGCGAAAGCCUGACGGAGCAACGCCGCGUGAGUGAUGAAGGUCUUCGGAUCGUAAAACUCUGUUAUUAGGGAAGAACAUAUGUGUAAGUAACUGUGCACAUCUUGACGGUACCUAAUCAGAAAGCCACGGCUAACUACGUG
rnacentral:rRNA from 1 species